GCUGGGCAUGGAGGUGCGUGCCUGUAAUCCCAGCUACUUGGGAGGCUGAGGCAGGAGAAUCGCUUGGACCCAGGAGGUAGAGGUUGCAGUGAGCCAAAAGCACGCCAUUGCACUCCAGCCUGGGUAACAGGGUGAGACUCUGUCUCAA
ensembl:misc_RNA Metazoa_SRP Metazoan signal recognition particle RNA